rnacentral:rRNA from 1 species
GAUGAACGCUAGCGGCAGGCUUAAUACAUGCAAGUCGUGGGGCAGCAUGAGUAGCAAUACUUGAUGGCGACCGGCAAACGGGUGAGGAACACGUACACAACCUUCCUUCAAGCGGGGAAUAGCCCAGAGAAAUUUGGAUUAAUACCCCAUAAUAUAUUUGAUAAGGCAUCUUAUUAAUAUUAAAGCUUCGGCACUUGAUGAUGGGUGUGCGGCUGAUUAGAUAGUUGGCGGGGUAACGGCCCACCAAGUCUACGAUCAGUAGCUGAUGUGAGAGCAUGAUCAGCCACACGGGCACUGAGACACGGGCCCGACUCCUACGGGAGGCAGCAGUAAGGAAUAUUGGACAAUGGACGAAAGUACUGAUCCAGCCAUGCCGCGUGAAGGAUUAAGGUCCUCUGGAUUGUAAACUUCUUUUAUAAUGGGUACGAAAAAAGGGCAUUCUUGUUCACUUGACGGUACCAUAUGAAUAAGCACCGGCUAACUCCGUGCCAG